rnacentral:rRNA from 1 species
CAGUUCGGAUCGGAGUCUGCAACCCGACUCCGUGAAGCUGGAUUCGCUAGUAAUCGCGCAUCAGCCAUGGCGCGGUGAAUACGUUCCCGGGCCUUGUACACACCGCCCGUCAAGCCAUGGGAGCCGGGGGUGCUUGAAGUGCGUCGCCGCAAGGCGCGCCCUAGAGCAAAACCGGUGACUGGGGCUAAGUCGUAACAAGGUACC